UUUAUAUCAAAUUAACUUAAAAAGACUCAUUUCGUGAGAACACCUCUCUCUUAUUUUAGUAUAAUGAAAAUUGUGUCACUCUAAAUAAUAUGUGUCAUUAUAACCCAAAAUAAAAAGUCUCGACGUAUUGAUGAUUAUAGAUCUUCUCAUUAUUUACUUGUUUAAUAAUUUCAUCAUGAUAUCACGAGACCAAUGUUUUGUUCUUUUUUUGUUUGUUUUUUAAAUUUUUUUAUAAGCAAUAUUUUGGUGGGAGAUUAUAACACAUACAUCAGGUACAUGAGUAACUACUCUUAUAUCUACUUGAGCUAUAAUAUAAUAAUCGUAUUUCGUUUUAGUAUGAUUCUUUUUAUUCAGAAAGUAACCCCGAGUAUCUAAUGGGUUGUUUUGCUUUUAAUUGUCACGAUCUUCAUAUUAAUUUGUGAAUGAAGAAUAAGUUAUGCUCUUUAAAAAAUAAAAACGAGCCUAGAUUUUAAGGGUUUAGGGUUCUUUACGUCCUUUGAUUUUAGUUGUUUAAUUAAUAUUAGGUGCUUUAUCGGCUUGUGGUUGUCGUAAUGAGGACGUCCUGGUCAUUGUCACGCACUGCAAAUGUCUUCAUUAUAAUGGACA
rnacentral:lncRNA from 1 species